UGUUUAUUAUGGCCUAGUGGUUAGAGCGUCCGCCUCGGGUGCGGGAGGUCGCGAAUUCAAACCCUGGCCAAGACAU